GGACCCGCACAAGUAGUGGAGCAUGUGGUUUAAUUCGAAGAUACGCGCAGAACCUUACCAACACUUGACAUGUUCGUCGCGACUUUAAGAGAUUAAAGUUUUCGGUUCGGCCGGACGAAACACAGGUGCUGCAUGGCUGUCGUCAGCUCGUGUCGUGAGAUGUUGGGUUAAGUCCCGCAACGAGCGCAACCCUCACUUUUAGUUGCCAUCAUUAAGUUGGGCACUCUGAAAGAACUGCCAGUGAUAAGCUGGAGGAAGGUGGGGAUGACGUCAAGUCCUCAUGGCCCUUACGUGUUGGGCUACACACGUGCUACAAUGGUAUUUACAACAGGAAGCAAGACUGCGAAGUUAAGCAAAUCCCUAAAAAUACCUCAGUUCGGAUUGCACUCUGCAACUCGAGUGCAUGAAGCUGGAAUUACUAGUAAUCGUGGAUC
rnacentral:rRNA from 1 species